UACGUAGGGGGCAAGCGUUGUCCGGAUUUAUUGGGCGUAAAGAGCGUGUAGGCGGCCAGACAGGUCCGUUGUGAAAACUCGAGGCUCAACCUCGAGACGCCGAUGGAAACCGUUUGGCUAGAGUCCGGAAGAGGAGAGUGGAAUUCCUGGUGUAGCGGUGAAAUGCGCAGAUAUCAGGAGGAACACCAAUAGCGAAGGCAGCUCGCUGGGACGUUACUGACACUGAGGCGCGAAAGCGUGGGGAGCGAACAGG
rnacentral:rRNA from 1 species